ensembl:lncRNA
AUGAAUCCCCUGCAGCUGUCUUUCCUUGUGCCGCAGGAACAUCUCUGUGUGAAGAUCUCUGAGUGCAUCUCUGACUCCACCUGCUGGAUCAACUGCCUCAGCCCCCGACGUCGUCUCCUCCCUCCGACUCUGAAUGUGCGGGAAGAUAUUUAUCAUCAGGAUCUUCCAAGUAUGUGUGAAAGUAAGUAAGAAAAAAUAACAAUAACGCAGUUUUAGAAAUACACACGUACUGUCCUGAAGAUGAUAUUCGUGUACCAACGAUUAUGCAGAAUUACCCUUUUUUUUCUGAUGAGGAUCAUUGCUGUAUUAUAGUUUUUGUUAACUGUCAUUAAUGAUAAAUGAGCAGCAGAAUGUAAAUAUUGUAUCUGCAUGAGGUGGACUACUCAUACAUUCAAAUACUCGUGCUUGUAGAAGUACUUGAAUAAAUGUUCUUUGUUACGUUCCACCACUGAUUUAAACUGACACUAUAUGCCAAAAACAGUUUAUAUAAUUAUUUAAAUCAUACAUGAUACACGCAUGUAUCAGAGAUCAGUAGCAGUUCUUUUUUGUCAUUCAUAAUGCAAAUAGAAUAAAGAUUAGAACUGGAAUCUAACCAUUAAACAGAAAUGGAGAGAUGUGGAGAACAGAAGCUGAAAGGCAAUUUGAUAAUAGUAAUAAAAUAAAAAACGUGAUCAUUUUUCCUUUUAAUGUGUUGAUUUUAAACCUCAUGACAGUUUAAUCUGUUGCUUAAAUCCUUUUCACUACAUCGACCAGUGAACAUUGUCAGAUAAAGUUUAUAAUCUGCAGAUGAAAAUCUAUUUGUUUAUUCAUAUUUAUCUCUAAGUAGCUGCAGGUGAGAUGAAUUAACAUGCUGACGUUGCCUUCAGUGUCACCUAGUUAUUCCCGGCGAUCGACUACUAAGGCCAUUUAAAGAUGGGGUCUAUUGUUGUUUAAUGAUUUUGCAGCAGGAGAAGACGAGGAGUUGAAGUGCAGGGUGGUGUAACUGUGCUACAGCUGCAGGUUUAAACUACUAAGUACCAUCAAGUAAUUCAAAAGUGAAUAUAUCAGAGGUUUCAGUCGUUUUAUUUUCCGGAAAGACCGUGAAUGUGUUGAACGCAUGCGCAGUGUUAAGUUGAAACAAUAACAAACAUGGUUUCCGGCAAAAACUUUCAAUAUAAAGCCCACAUUAGUCCUCAAAUCUUGAGCCAUUAUCUGAUUACGUGAUAACAAAUGAUAUAGGUCACAUACUUAAUUUUUCCUUUUAUUAAGUAUUACAUUUUAAUUAUAUGUGUUUUCACUUUGAGCUUUUGAUGGUCUAUGUUUUACAGCAGGAGUAAAAUAUAUUUUUUGAUCAAUUAAAAAAAACUUUUUUGUGCCUUUGUCACAGACAUCUGUGUCAAAGUAGCACAAACAGGGGAUGUGUGUGUGUUUAUUUUAUCAAAAAGAUAAAACUUUGUGACAAUAAAGUCAUGUCUGUUUUAGAUGGAGUAGAGAUAUUUUCAUUAAUCAUCUUGCACAUGAAAACACAUCUGUAAAAUAUUAAAUAUAUACACAGAUAUUUGCAUGAAUUGAAACACAUACACAUAAUAAUAAUAAUAAUUGUAUGUAUAUAGCACCUUUCAGAAGCAGCUUCACAAAGUGCUUCCACAAAAACAUACAAAUCACAGACAAUUAAAAUCAGCAUUCUAACAAUAAUACGGUUUUCCAUCGUGCGUAAAGUGUACGCUUUUAUUUUGAAGGCCACC